GCUCAUCUCAGCAGGAACCUGAUGGUGUCCACUGGACUGCUACAGCUGUUUGCAAUACCAACUAUUCAGACUGAACAUGGACAUUGUUCUUCAAUUCAGCUUCUAGAAAAGAAGUCUAGGCUAUCCACUUGGAGAAAGUGGCCAUGUGAAUAAAAGGACCCCAGCAGCAGCCCAGCACCAUGGUUCCUGACAUACAAUGAAACAUUCCCAUAAGAAACAUAAAGCAGGCUGGGGGCGGUGGCUCAUGCUUGUAAUCCCAGCACUUGGGAGGCCAAGGCGGUGGAUCACGAGAUCAAGAGAUCAAGACCAUCCUGGCCAAUGUGGUGAAACCACGUCUCUACUAAAACUACAAAAAUUAGCUGGGCGUGGUGGCAUGUGCCUGUAGUCCCAGCUACUUGGGAGGCUGAGGCAGGAGAAUCGCUCGAACCUGGGAGACGUAGGAGGUUAAAGUGAGCCAAGAUCAUGCCACUGCACACCAGCCUGGCCACAGAGCAAGACUCUGUCUCAAAAGGAAAUAAAGAAAAGAAAAGAAAAGAAAGAAAAGGGCCAGGCACGGUGGCUCAUGCCUGUAAUCCCAGCACUUUGAGAGGCCGAGCAGGUGGAUCACGAGGUCACGAGAUCGAGACCAGCCUGACCAACAUGGUGAAACCCCAUCUCUACUAAAAAUAGAAAAAUUAGCUGGGCAUGGUGGCACACGCCUGUAAUCCCAGCUACUCGGGAGGCUGAGGCAGGAGAAUUGCUUGACCCUGGGAAGUGGAGGUCACAGUGAGCCGAGAUCGUGCCACUGCACCACUCCAGCCUGGUGACAGAGCAAGAGUCCAUCUCAAAACAAACAAACAACAAAAAAACAAAAAAAAAAAAAAGGAAAGAAAAGAAAAACAUGAAGCAAGGCUUAAAGAUGGAGAGCUACCAAGGAAGUGGUAGAGAAGUAUUUACAUUGGGUGGUCAGAGAAGGCUUCCUGAAGAGAUAACAUUCAAGCAGAAAAGGAAGUUAGAUAACUAAAUGGGUAACAGAGAUGAGUCACAAACAUCAGAAAAAAAUACAUAUAUAUAUCUACAAAUGUUUUCGUGAUAUGUUAUAAGCAAUAUAUUCAAAUCAAAUUCACCAUCCUUCCUAUAUUGGCAUCCACAUAGAACGCCCAUCCUGUCAUCUCCUUUUCUCUGCAUUACUAUUUAUCUUUACAAAUCAAUUUAGCUGUCAUCUUCUCCAGGAAGACCUACCUGACUUUUCUAAUCUGGGUAGUGCUCUCUUCUAUGUCAUCAUAGCUCCCUGUAUUUUCUUAUAUGACAGUUUGUAAUAUACAUUAACCUUAGAGCUCUUUUAGAGUAAAGAAAUUCUAAAUUUGAUAUACCCUGCAAUAUGUACAUUGCAGGUAAAAUGGCAAUGUUUUUCUGCCUCUACUUACACUGAAUUCACUAUUCUUUCGUUUUAUUUAUUUCCUAAUGGUUCCUAGUGUAAGCACGUCACCAAAAUUUAGAUUAAAUCAAGAAAAAAGUUUUUGACCAAUGGCUGCUUAAUCUGUCACUGAAAAGUAGCAACAAAACCAAGCUUUUAUCAACCAGAAAACAUAUUGUGCUUCCUUUGGGAAAGUAAACAAGACAGUAGACAUAGAAGCCUCACACAAAGGGGGAAAAUAAACUGAAGGAUUUUAAGAGUAACACCUGUCAAAUGGAGCAGUAAUGUGUAUGGUUUGACAAAAUAGGCUGGUGACUGUCAAAAUAAAUAAUAAAUCUUCCAGCUCUGACUAAUGACUGAAUUACGCUGGAAGACUUGAGGGAAGCAUCCAAUAAAAUGCAAAAUUGAAAGAAAAAUUGGAACGGUCGGCACAGCCUCCUAGCAGCUAAAUUUCAAGUAAUUUUGGAAAAACACAAACCAUUCACCAGGUUCCAUGGCAGAGGGAAAAGUUCCAAAAACUGUUCUGAUUGAGCAUUCUGCUUUAGUUAGGAAAUCACAUCUCUUCUGAUGGAGUGCCAAGAAGUUGGUUUCUGCUUUUUCAAUACAGAAAAAAUCCUGCCGUGACUGUGACAUUCUCUGUGCAGACAUUCAGCUGACUGCCAAUAAUAUCAUUAGGGAAGAACAGCUAGAGCUGGACCCCUUUGUACGUAGAGUGAAGCAAACUGCAGAAAAGGCAUAGAUCCAGGGAAAGCCCAUCUCUGAUACCUUUCUAUUUUCAUUUCUUCCCAAUUCAGGUACCUAAUUUCCUUUAGUCACAGCUUCUUAGAAGACUAUCUUAUUUUUUCUUACCAGCAAGCAAAGAUUUUCUAACAUUAUUAUAAAGAAAACUGGCCAAGUGUCUGCUGAUUAUGUUAUGAUCCUUCCAGGGGCAGUUUCAUUUAUAUAAAUUGUUUCUUGAAGACCCAAAAAGCCUUGAUAAAUUUCUGUUCUAGAAUUUAAUAAUAUAUCACAAGUGGAAGAAUGCAUCACUAGUGAAAGAAUUUUAAGCAUCUCAAAAACACAGUUCUAUAAAAGUCAUCUUUUUUCAGAAACUUUCCACUUAUCUCUCAAGUUCAAAGUAGCAGAGGUGGGUACUGGUUUUCCCUCUGUCUGACUCCUUUAAUUUUGUCUUUGUUUCCAGAGUAAACUAUGCUCUUGAUUCCCUAUAUCAUAAUGAAAGAGAGAGGAGGAAAAACAAAGUAUCCUUUUUUAAGGGGGGACCAUUUCUAGGUAUUGUUUAGCCUGCAAUAGCAUGGCUUGCUUUCUUAUUUAAUUAUUUUUAUUUAUGUUCUUCCACUAUUUAUUUCUCCUUCAUGUCUUUUAUGCAUUAAAUUGUAUUGAACCU